UGAGAUGUUGGGUUAAGUCCCGCAACGAGCGCAACCCCUAUUGUUAGUUGCCAUCAUUCAGUUGGGCACUCUAGCGAGACUGCCGGUAAUAAACCGGAGGAAGUGGGAUGACGUCAAAUCAUCAUGCCCCUUAUGACCUGGGCUACACACGUGCUACAAUGGUUGGUACAACGAGUUGCGAGUCGGUGACGGCGAGCUAAUCUCUUAAAGCCAAUCUCAGUUCGGAUUGUAGGCUGCAACUCGCCUACAUGAAGUCGGAAUCGCUAGUAAUCGCGGAUCAGCACGCCGCGGUGAAUACGUUCCCGGGCCUU
rnacentral:rRNA from 1 species